UACAGAGGUCUCAAGCGUUUGUUCGGAUUCAUUGGGCGUAAAGGGUGCGUAGGUGGCGCCGUAAGUCAGGUGUGAAAUUUCGGAGCUUAACUCCGAAACUGCAUUUGAUACUGCGGUGCUUGAGGACUGGAGAGGAGACUGGAAUUCAUGGUGUAGCAGUGAAAUGCGUAGAGAUCAUGAGGAAGACCAGUGGCGAAGGCGGGUCUCUGGACAGUUCCUGACGCUGAGGCACGAAGGCCAGGGGAGCAAACGGG
rnacentral:rRNA from 1 species